rnacentral:rRNA from 1 species
CUUAAAGCCGUUCUCAGUUCGGACUGUAGGCUGCAACUCGCCUACACGAAGUCGGAAUCGCUAGUAAUCGCGGAUCAGCAUGCCGCGGUGAAUACGUUCCCGGGCCUUGUACACACCGCCCGUCACACCAUGGGAGUUUGUAACGCCCAAAGUCGGUGGCCCAACCUUUAUGGAGGGAGCCGCCUAAGGCGGGACAGAUGACUGGGGUGAAGUCGUAACAAGGUAUC